rnacentral:rRNA from 1 species
GAUGAACGCUGGCGGCGUGCUUAACACAUGCAAGUCGAACGAAGCACUUUAACCUGAUUCUUCGGAUGAAGGUUUUUGUGACUGAGUGGCGGACGGGUGAGUAACGCGUGGGUAACCUGCCUCAUACAGGGGGAUAACAGUUAGAAAUGACUGCUAAUACCGCAUAAGACCACAGAGCCGCAUGGCUCGGUGGGAAAAACUCCGGUGGUAUGAGAUGGACCCGCGUCUGAUUAGGUAGUUGGUGGGGUAACGGCCUACCAAGCCAACGAUCAGUAGCCGACCUGAGAGGGUGACCGGCCACAUUGGGACUGAGACACGGCCCAAACUCCUACGGGGGGCAGCAGUGGGGAAUAUUGCACAAUGGGGGAAACCCUGAUGCAGCGACGCCGCGUGAGCGAAGAAGUAUUUCGGUAUGUAAAGCUCUAUCAGCAGGGAAGAAAAUGACGGUACCUGACUAAGAAGCACCGGCUAAAUACGUG